rnacentral:rRNA from 1 species
ACGAACGCUGGCGGCGUGCUUAACACAUGCACGUCGAACGGAAAGGCCCUGCUUGCAGGGUACUCGAGUGGCGAACGGGUGAGUAACACGUGGGUGAUCUGCCCUGCACUUCGGGAUAAGCCUGGGAAACUGGGUCUAAUACCGGAUAUGACCUUCCAUGUAGUGUGGGGGGUGGAAAGAUUUAUCGGUGUGGGAUGAGCCCGCGGCCUAUCAGCUUGUUGGUGGGGUAAUGGCCUACCAAGGCGUCGACGGGUAGCCGGCCUGAGAGGGUGGACGGCCACAUUGGGACUGAGAUACGGCCCAGACUCCUACGGGAGGCAGCAGUGGGGAAUAUUGCACAAUGGGCGGAAGCCUGAUGCAGCGACGCCGCGUGGGGGAUGACGGCCUUCGGGUUGUAAACCUCUUUCGACAGGGACGAAGCUUCGGUGACGGUACCUGUAUAAGAAGCACCGGCUAACUACGUG